rnacentral:rRNA from 1 species
GAGUUUGAUCAUGGCUCAGAUUGAACGCUGGCGGCAUGCCUUACACAUGCAAGUCGAACGGUAACAGGUCUUCGGAUGCUGACGAGUGGCGAACGGGUGAGUAAUACAUCGGAACGUGCCCAGACGUGGGGGGAUAACGAGGCGAAAGCUUUGCUAAUACCGCAUACGAUCUAAGGAUGAAAGCAGGGGACCGCAAGGCCUUGCGCGUUUGGAGCGGCCGAUGGCAGAUUAGGUAGUUGGUGGGAUAAAAGCUUACCAAGCCGACGAUCUGUAGCUGGUCUGAGAGGACGACCAGCCACACUGGGACUGAGACACGGCCCAGACUCCUACGGGAGGCAGCAGUGGGAAUUUGGACAAUGGGCGAAAGCCUGAUCCAGCAAUGCCGCGUGCAGGAUGAAGGCC